CAAAGGUCCAUGAUUAGCGUAGAUACAACCAUAGUAAUUAGUUUGAACUUAAAAGCUGCACUAAACACAUUGACUAUCACUUGAAAUGCCUCUCUCUAAUUCUAAAAAUAAAACUAAUAGUUAAUUAGGCACAAGUCAUACUACUAAUACUACUGGAAGAAUAGUAACGCAAAUAUGAAAGUUCAACAGUCCCAUUAAUUACAAAUAAGCACAAUACAACAUGAAACAAGUGAAAUCUACAGUAAAACUAGGUGUCAACUUUAUUUCAUUGCUUCAACUUGAGGUCUACAUAAGAUUGAUUCCAGAAAAUAUACCUGGAGAUUAACUGCAAUACGAAGAAAGAGAAUCAGUAGCAAAUAGCAAAACAACAGCUCGAAUUCAAGUGUACAGUCCAGCAAACAACACCAAAAUCAGUCCGAAAUUGGAAUAUGAAAAUACAUAACCAAUAAUCCACCAAAACAGACUUGAAUAAAUCCAAAAUGAUUCGAAAUUAAUCCCAGGAAAACUUCUAAACUUCAGCUGCUAGAAAUGACCAGAAAUAGCUUGAACAAAACCCAAAACGACCUUGAAUUUGAGUCUGGACAUGAACAAAACUAAACUAAUAGAAUUAAAAAUAGGAACGAAUUCGCCAGCAUUUAUACUAACCACAAUCAGAAAGAAAAAAUGGGAGAACAUCUACUAAUAAUAAAAAAAUUAAACUAAAUCCUAUUCCUAACUAAAACAGACUAAGAUGAAUCAAGAAACAAUAUCACCAUGAAAUCAAAACAAAACUUAAACUAAGAUAAGAAAUCAUGAAAUGAUCAAGAUCAUAUUUAGACUAAAAACAAACAUAAGAACAUAUUCAAUCAUGAACAAAGUUUAACUCAACUGACUCAGAAAUCAAACCAGAUUAAACAAAAGGAAAUUUAAACUAACAAAAAUCAGAAAUUUAAAAGAAUACUUACUAAUUUUCCCGUCCUAGAAUUUGAUUUUCAAGUUAUGUUACAUGCUUAUUUUGUCUAAAAUAAACAUAUAACAUCAUUUUACAUUCAACCGAGCACUUGAAAUCCCAAAAACAGGUUGAACGUAUAAACCCUAGAUCUGAAAUUAAUAGAGUUUCUUUUGGAUUUGAAAGGUUUUGGCUUGGGAUUCAGGAUGAGGGGGUCAAGGAGAUUUUAGGGUGUAAUUUUGAUUGGCUUUGGGAGAAGUAGGGUUCUGGCUGGAUUUUUAAAUGAAUAUUCGAAGAGAUUGGCAAUGAUUCGAGAGAAAUGGUAUAGAUAUUUGGGAUGAGGAGGUUGAGAAGAUUCUAGGGUAUAAAUUUUGUGGGUAUUGGUAUUGUUUACGGUGGCACCGCCAUGAUGAAGGCUGAGGGGUUUGGGGCGGCCAUUACUAGAGUUUCUAGGUUAGAGAGUGUUGUGGGAGAGA
rnacentral:lncRNA from 1 species